rnacentral:lncRNA from 1 species
AAGUGAUAACCUCUUGGGUCAACACACUCACGUAGAACAAUAAGCAGCUGACUCAUUUUGGAAAAAUUUGCAUGUGUUUGAUGAUGACGAGUUUGACACUGAAACAUUGCUUUCAUGCAGGAAAUGAAGGAUUAUCUGGCUGCAUAUUUCAUUUGGUGAAGUCCUUAAUAAGAAGGUACAACAAUUAUGUAAAAGCAAACAAGUCGGGGAAUGCUAAUGCGGUUAGAUAUUAAUUUCGUUAAUUUAGAUUAAAGCUCCGGAUCUGGCACAAUGCAGGCCAACCACUAUUUUUAACUCCCUUUCAGUGAAACCUCAAUAUGUAGACAACGUGCUAUUUACAAUGAAAUCUUCAGGCACUUGCUUAUAUAGUACUUGACUUUUGCCCUUUGGAUGGACAGUGGACAGUAUUACACCAUCUUUUAUGGUUGUGGUUCUUCAAUUUCUGUGCAUAUUUUUUGUUUUCAUUGUUUGUGUUCUAAUUGGGGUAUCAAUAUACACUCAUUAAGGAAGGGAUAUUUCAAAUGCAGGACCUUAUAAAGUGGCAAUAUGAGGUGAUGAAUGAAAGAAAAAGGGAUUCUCUGGUCAUUUCCUCGGCAGUUUAGCCAAAUUAUCUAUGUGAUGUGGAUCAUAUAUUAAGCUUAUUCCUUGUUUUUACUUGUCUAGUUAAAGCGGAUGUUUGGGCCAAGCAGACCAUAAUUUUGAGUAAAAAUUGCACAGGGCGUCCUAUUUGGUCGCCCCCAUUUAACCUAUACCCAUAUUUUUAAAAUUAUUUAACCUAUACCCUAAUUUUUACAACUUCAGGCGCCUCCUUCUUCCUGCUACAUGUGCGCCUUUUUCUUCCUCCUUUUUUUUCUACUCUUUAUUUUUUUUAAUUUGUAGUAUAUUUUACUGCUGAUUUGCUCAU